GAACGAACGCUAGCGGCGUGCCUAACACAUGCAAGUCGUACGAGAAAUCCCGGGCAACUGGGAGAGUAAAGUGGCGCACGGGUGAGUAACGCGUGGGUAAUCUACCUUGGAGUUCGGAAUAACACCUCGAAAGGGGUGCUAAUACCGGAUAUCGUCCCAGGGGUUUCGGCUCCGGGGAUGAAAGAUGGCUGAGGCUUGCAAGCUAUUGCUCCAAGAUGAGCCCGCGUACCAUUAGCUAGUUGGUGGGGUAACGGCCCACCAAGGCAAUGAUGGUUAGCUGGUCUGAGAGGAUGACCAGCCACACUGGAACUGAGAUACGGUCCAGACUCCUACGGGAGGCAGCAGUGAGGAAUCUUGCGCAAUGGGGGCAACCCUGACGCAGCAACGCCGCGUGAGUGAUGAAGGCCUUCGGGUCGUAAAGCUCUGUCAGGCGGAAAGAAUGUUUCCAGGGUGAACAAUCCUGGAGAUUGACGGUACCGCCAGAGGAAGCACCGGCUAACUCCGUGCCAGCAGCCGCGGUAA
rnacentral:rRNA from 1 species